GCGUUCAUUUGUCUAAUGGAUAGGACAGAGGUCUUCUAAGCCUUAGGUAUAGGUUCAAAUCCUAUUGGACGCA
rfam:Vigna angularis cultivar Jingnong 6 chromosome 4, whole genome shotgun sequence.